AGGGGGUUUNNCAAUCAUGGCUCAGGACGAACGCUGGCGGCGUGCCUAAUACAUGCAAGUCGAGCGGACUUGACAGAGCUUGCUCUGUUCAAGUUAGCGGCGGACGGGUGAGUAACACGUGGGCAACCUGCCCUGCAGAUUGGGAUAACUCCGGGAAACCGGGGCUAAUACCGAAUAACACAAAAGACCUCAUGGUCUUUUGUUGAAAGGCGGCUUCGGCUGCUACUGCAGGAUGGGCCCGCGGCGCAUUAGCUAGUUGGUGAAGUAACGGCUCACCAAGGCAACGAUGCGUAGCCGACCUGAGAGGGUGAUCGGCCACACUGGGACUGAGACACGGCCCAGACUCCUACGGGAGGCAGCAGUAGGGAAUCUUCCGCAAUGGACGAAAGUCUGACGGAGCAACGCCGCGUGAGUGAAGAAGGUUUUCGGAUCGUAAAACUCUGUUGUCAGGGAAGAACAAGUGCUGGAGUAACUGCCGGCACCUUGACGGUACCUGGCCAGAAAGCCACGGCUAACUACGUGCCAGCAGCCGCGGUAAUACGUAGGUGGCAAGCGUUGUCCGGAAUUAUUGGGCGUAAAGCGCGCGCAGGCGGUCUUUUAGUCUGAUGUGAAAGCCCACGGCUCAACCGUGGGAGGGUCAUUGGAAACUGGAAGACUUGAGUGCAGAAGAGAAGAGCGGAAUUCCACGUGUAGCGGGUGAAAUGCGUAAAGAUGUGGAGGAACACCAGUGGCGAAGGCGGCUCUUNGGUCUGUAACUGACGCUGAGGC
rnacentral:rRNA from 1 species